rnacentral:lncRNA from 1 species
UGCCACUGAUUGUUCGAGUGAAGAUGAUGCAGAUUAUAAUGUUAAGAAAAACAGAUCAGUGUGUAAUAAGCGCGUUGUUUCAGAGAUUUUGGUUGAGGAUGCCCAAUGUGAAUCAUCUGCAAAGAAUUCAUUCAAUUGCAAUACCUAUGACACCAAAUUUGGUAAUUGUAUGGAUAUUGAUGACAGUGAGAAAACUCGAAGAUGUGGUACCGAAUAUAAGGGAGUUCGGCGUAGAAAAUGGGGAAAGUAUGUAGCGGAGAUUCGAGAUCCAUUUCAAAAGACUAAAUUAUGGCUUGGCACUUUUACUACUGCAGAGGAGGCUAAUAUGGCUUAUCAGACAAAGAAGGCCGAGUUUGAUAACAGAAGGUUAUUGCAAGAGACUAAGAGUAAUCUUAAAAAGUUGCAAGCAUCAAACAAGGCCAAGGGAGUGUGUGAGACCAAGCGUAAUUGUAUUGAUGUUGAUGACAGUGAGAAAACUAGAAGAUGUUCUACCAGGCGGCGUACAAAAUGGGGAGCGUAUGCAGCGAAGAGUCAGGAUUUAUCAGCUGAUGCUGCUAUUGAAACUGUCUCAUUCAGUUGCAAUACCUAUGGCACCAAAUUUGGUAAUUGUAUGGAUGUUGAUGAAAGUGAGAAAACUCAAAGAAUUAUUACCAAAUGUAAGGCAGUUCGGCGUACAAAAGGGGGAAAGUAUUCAGCGCAGAUUCGAGAUCCAUUUCGAAAGACUAGCGUAUGGCU